rnacentral:tRNA from 1 species
UCUUUGUAGUAUACUAAAUACACUUUGUCUUUGUAAACCAGAAAAGGAGAACAACCAACCUCCCCAAGACU